AGACCCAGCAUCUCAACCACCCUUCCUCAAACCCCCCCCUUUGGCGGCUCCGGGAGUUUCGCUCCCGAUAAAUGUUCAAGGAGCUUGCGUGCGGUGUUUGAAGAUCAAAACACGACCUCCUCAUGGACACAAAAAAAGCGGCGGUCGACGCAGAGCGGGAAAAAUCAACGGUCACCACCGUGGAGCAAUUCCGCUUUGCGGUGCCGAAGAAGGGCGGAUGAGC